ensembl:misc_RNA 7SK 7SK RNA
AGAAAUGAACGUCAAAGCUCAUCUGCUCUAACAGAGCUCAUCUGGCUGGCUAGGCCGGUGGCCUUUCCUUCCUCAGGGCUCCAUGUGUGUCCUUCCCGAAGCUGCGCUCUAGCACGAAGAGGAGACACCCCCGCUAGAGAAGGUCCCUUCCUUGGUCAAGGGUGUACGAGAGGUGCGCUCCCCUGCUAGAGUUUCCGAGCAGAACAGCCCUCUGCACGUCAAGGCUGAUGUCCACUCACUGUCAUCGCAGUGAAUGACACUGCUGUU